GCCUGUAUUUGGUAAAGAAUUUCAAGUCCCACCUAUUCCUUAACGUACAGACAAAAAGGAUCGGACGCUGAAAUUGUUCAUAUAUACAAUCUGGAAGACAAACUGUGUGGAGCUAACUGAAGCCACAAAUAAUGGAUACGAAAAUGGAUGCUAUUUUCAGAGUCAUACCACUGAAUUGUUUUCCCUUGUUUGAAAAAAUACUGCUGUCUAUCUAUUUGACAUUUACAAUCAUCGCUCCUGGAAUUUCAAAAACAUUCGAUCGUCAAACUUCUUUUACUUGUAAUGACAAGAUGAUUUCAAAAUUCCAAGAAACUUCUCUUAUAAAGAACAUUGAAUCAAGUUGUUUGAGACAAUACCAAAAUGAAACUUGGGAUAAUAUAUAUGUGGUGUCCUUCAAUUUCUUUUUUCUCUUUUUUUGGGGUAUGAUCUAUGGACAGUCUGUGAGCAAUCGACUUAAAAACUUUGAUAAGUUCUUGUCAGAAAGAAGCAGUGAAGUCAGAAAGGUUGCAUCUAGUUCUUGGGCAUUCUAUUAUUACAUCAUUUAUUUGACUGUACGCGUGAUCGGGUUGUCUAUAUUUGUUACAGUACUGUUUCCAUCCAUGUUUCCCAUUGCAUAUUCUUGUUCGUGGCGUCCAACAACAAACGAAAACUCUUCGUUCAACAGUAUAAUUCUUCCUCCAUAUAACGAAACUUUCCUUAAUUGUGAAAUUCGCGAUGGUAACAGUGAAUGGUGGAUUAAAUUUGUUGUAGCUGUUGAUGUUUUAUCGAUAAUAAUGACGAUAUGUCAGCUAAUAUACCUAUUAAA